rnacentral:misc_RNA from 1 species
GGCAAACAUGUAUCCUUCCUAAAGAAAUCAAAGUGGUUAGUGGAGUGGUGGCCUAUCAUAAUAAUAUUAUAAUUUUACCUUAUAAUAUAAUAAUAUCGUAGUAAUAUUAACAUUUCUAGAAAAGAAUUUCAAAAUUAUAAUAUUACCUUCUUUGAUUAUAAAUAAUUUUUUAUGUAAUAUAAUAAUUAUUGUGUUCAAUGAAUUUAUGGAAAUAUAAAAAUAAAGUGAAAUGAAUUAACCUAAAAAUGCAUAAGUUAGGCAAAAGAAGAUUCAACAACCG